AGCAGAAGAGCAAUGAUUGACUAGCACUAGGAGCUUCCUGUCUGGAGGCACCUGAAGACAUGCCACACUGAGGAUCCUACAGGGUGACUGAAGCAAGGGAGUCAAGCCACAUGGUACAGUAGAAGGUAAAUAUGAGGACCAGCCCUUAUGAAAUCUGUAACACAUACCAGAUGCAGACAAAGUAUGUUUCCUGGAAGUAAUCAUAUUGCAAGAAGAUCUCUCCUUUAUAACUCAAGUGAAGUGUAGAGUGAGGCUAAUUAUGCACAUGUUCUGAGGGUGGCGUCACAACUGAUUUGUUAUUCCCCAAAAUCAUCUGCCUCGUUGGUUCCAGAAACAAGCAGUGUUUUUAUGUAGCUUUUCAUAUGGCCACACUUCAGGUUGUGUAAUCCGGCAGACCAGAAAAGCUCACAAUGGAAGCUGGAAUGUGUGGGUGGUUUGGGGAAUUUGUAGGAGGCUGUAGGAGGCCCCUUUGUGGGGCACAAAAUAUAAUCCAUCCACCCCCAGCAGCUAAUGAAUUCAUGAAAUACAACUCUGUAGAGUACUAGCAGCAGACGCAAAGUGGCAUUCCACAAUACAGUAGUCUUUUUCUAGUCCUCUGUGGAGAUGCCAGGGACUGAACCAGGAAUCUUCUGCAUGCAAAGCAUGUACUCUACCACUGAGCUAUGGUUUCCCUCCAAAUGUUGGGCCAAACUAAACAUGGCACAGAGUACUUUUAUCUUGUCAGUACUUUAAGUGGCAAAACCACUGAAGGGAAAAGGUUUAACAUCCCCAAAAGCCCUCUGUCAUUUGACACUGAAGGAGGGACGUGAUAGAGGCUUAUACACUGAUGAAUGGUGAUGUUCCACUCACUCUCAUUACACACAAAUGCGGAGUCAGUUAAUUGGCAUUAACUGUAUUUCUUCACAUGAUGCCUGUGGAAAGCCUGCAAGCAGGACCUGAGCAUGAGAGCACUCUCCCCUCCUAUGGUUUCCAGCAACUGGUAUUCAGAAGUAUAUUGCCUCUGCCUGUGGAGGCAGAGCAUAGCCAUCAUGGUUAACAGCCACUGAUAGCCUUAUGCUCCAUGAAUUCCUCUAAUCUUAUUUUAAAACCAUCCAAGUUGGUGGCCAUCACUGCUUCCUGGGAGAGCAAGUUCUGUAGUUUAACUAAGCACUGCAUUGAAAAGUCCUUUUAUAUUCCAACAUUCAAUCCCAAAUGCUGCAACCUUUCCUCAGAGGGGAGUUGUUCUAUCUUUAUCAUUUUGGUUGCUCUUCCACAACUCUACAGUAGCCACCCAUUCCUAGCUAUAAACACACAUACAGUACAUAAAUUGGCAGAAGCUUAUAAAAUAAUUCUCAGAUAAGAUGAGGUCAAAGUUGCUUACCUGUUGUUGUUUUUUAAAAGCCCCUUAACAACCAACCAACUAACACAUUUACAUAUUAUAGGGAGGCAUGUUUAUUCCCCUUUGGACAAAAUACAAGAAGCUGUAUAACACACAUGUUGGUAAAAGUGUGACUAAUCCAGAAAGUCGUAACAUCCUUUUGAUCUGCCACCAGCAUGAAAAUUUCAGUGGGCAAUAAGCAUGACCUCUUCGAAAGAUUCUGUGUGAUGCAAGUUAAUGACUUCUGCAGGGUUUUUCAGGAAACUGGUGAAUAAGGGGAACUCUUUUGCGGUCACCUUCCCCCUAUGAACACAUGCCUUUCCUGCAAUACUUCACAGAAACCUCACACCUUCCUUCACAAAUAUUUCAAAUUUCCCUAAGCAACCAGGUAGCAUAGAUUCAAGCAGAAGCAGCACCUUGAUGGGGCUUUGCCGGGAAAAACACCAAAAGAGGUUAAAACAUCUGCAAGCCACUUCCUUAAACUUCAAACCUAUUUCAAGUUUUGAUAGCAGGGCGGCAGGAGGCAACUAUGACUGUUAUCUUCUGUCCCUGAAGUCUUUUGAGUGAGUUACAUGUUGCUCACUGCGGUCAACAGCUUUUGCUUUUGGUUAGACCGCUGCUUCCUCCUGAUAUGUAAAAUGGGCCAACAAGCAAAAAUGAAACUUUAUUAUUGCUUCUGGUAAGGAAGGCAAGGCCCCCGUGCUUUUCACAUUGUGUAAGAGGGUUUUUAAGCAAAAAGGGAAGAACUCUUUCAUCCCAUACUUGAUCAGUGGCAUUUGCCAAAAUUCCCUACUUUGCUCACGUAUUAAUUUGGCAGGAUCUCACAUACCUUCCAACAUUCCUCUGGUGAAAAUAGGGACAUUUCUCACUCCCCCACACAACUGACCCUCCUUGAUUUCCCCACCUUUUUGUCCUCCCACAAUAGCAUUUCCUAUCAGAAGAAGGGCAAUUGCCAACACCAUCACACCAACAGGACACAGCACACACAGCCUCCACUGUCCUGAGAAAAGCCAUUCAUCCUUAUUUUAUUUUAUGGUAGAUUUACAAAGAAGUAAAUUUGAGAAAGGGGCAAGAUUAGAUGUUGGACACACAAAGUUUUAGGGUUUUUUUAAGACUCCUUGUCUCCUCUCUGCUCCCUCUCUCUGUGCCCUAUUUUGUACUCCCUUGGUGGUGCAUGUGACCGGCCUACCGUGACUUCACCCACCUGGUUCCCACCACCCCAAUCAAAACAGGCAUCCUUGGGAAAGCCUGUGAUUCACUACUUGACAACUCAUUUUUUCUAGGUCUUCCAUGAUCUCAUUGUCUUCAGAAAAUAGGUGUGCUUUAUGACUGUGCACCUUUACCCUUAAAAGAGGCCACAAGAAUUUUUUUGAAAGGGAAAUUAAGGAAACUUUCCUAAUAACCCCAUAGUUGUAAGUGUUGUGAGGUUCCUCAGGGUUGCUAAGAGUCCUCUUCCCAUAAUUUUUUAUUUUUUGCUUCAAACAAACAAACAAACAAACAACUAUUUUCCUUGUGGAGAUAUAAGUGAAAAUAGGAAGGCAGUAUUCUACCCAAAUAGCCGAUACAGUGGUAUCUCGGGUUACAGAUGCUUCAGGUUACAGACUCCGCUAACCCAGAAAUAGUACCUCAGGGUAAGAACUUUGCUUCAGGAUGAGAACAGAAAUCAUGCUCCGGCGGUGCGGCGGCAGCUGGAGGCCCCAUUAGCUAAAGUGGUACCUCAGGUUAAGAACAGUUUCAGGUUAAGAACGGACCUCCAGAACAAAUUAAGUUCUUAACCCGAGGUACCACUGUACAUUUCUACAUUCCAGUGUUGUAGCUGAUUAAUAAGAAGGCUUUGGGCACUAAUUUUGAAAACAAGUUUUAUUAUUUUAUCAAAACAAUUUAACACAUUCAUUCAAUCCUAAGUUUUUACUGAGAAAAAUACCGCUUGACUUCAGUUCAUCUAGUAAAUGUCUCAAGGACUGCAGCAUUAAGAAAUAUAUUGGGUGGUAGUCAACAUGAGUGAAUAGUGAGAUGCAGCAGCAAAAAACCUAAUGCUAUUCUAGGCUGCAUCAACAGAAGUAUAGGGAAGUAAUAAUACCACUAUUCUGCUUUGGUCAGACCACGCCUGGAGUUGAGUUUUGGGUGCCGUAAUUUAAGAAAUAUAUUGACAAGCUGUGCAGAGGAGGGCUACCAAAAUGAUAAAAGGCCUGGAAGCUGAGCCUUAUGAGGAACAUUUGAGGGAGUUGGUAUGUUUGGCCUGGAAAAGAAGAGACUGAGAGGAGAUAUGAUAUUCAUUUUCAAAUAUCUAAAGGGCUGUCACACUGAAGAUGGAGCAAGCUUGUUUUCUCCUGCUCUGGAGGCUAGGACCUGAACCAAUGUGUUCAAGUUACAAGAAAGGAGAUUCUGAUUAAACAUCAGGAAUAAGUUUUUGACUGUAAGAGCUGUUCACCUCCCUCAGGCGGUGGUGGGCUCUCCUUCCUUGAAGGUUUUUAAGCAGAGGUUGGAUGGCCAUCUGUCAGGGAUGCUUUAUUUGAGAUUCCUGCGUUGCAGGGGGUCAGCCUAUGACCCUUGGGGUCCCUUCCAACUUUACAGUUCUAGGAUUCUAUAAUUCUAUAGCCAGCUAAGUUUUAUUUAAAUUAGACCUAAUGAAAUUAAUGGGUCUAAUUUUGUCAUGUUAUUUCAGUGGAGCAACUUUUGAGUAAAAUUUGGUUAAAUACCACCCAUUUUGUUGUUGUUUAGUCAUGUCCGACUUUUCGUGACCCCGUGGACCAGAGCAUGCCAGGCACUCCUGUUUUCCACUGCCUCCCGCAGUUUGGUCAAACUCAUGCUGGUAGUUUCGAGAACACUAUCCAACCACCUCGUCUUCUGUCGUCCCCUUCUCCUUGUGCCCUCCAUCUUUCCCAGCAUCCUGGUCUUUUCCAGGGAGUCUUCUCUUCUCACGAGGUGGCCAAAGUAUUGGAGCCUCAGCUUCAGGAUCUGUCCUUCCAGUGAGUACUCAGAGCUGAUUUCCUUCAGAAUGGAUAGGUUUGAUCUUCUUGCAGUCCAUGGGACUCACAAGAGUCUCCUCCAGCACCAUAAUUCAAAAGCAUCAAUUCUUCGGCGAUCAGCCUUUAUGGUCUAGCUCUCACUUCCAUACAUCACUAAAAUACCACCCAUUAGAUUAAGCUUUUCUUUUUCUACAUUGGCUUAUAACGGCCCCUCAGUGGUGGGGGCAAGGCUUUUUAAGCCCAAGGGCCUCAUUCCCUCCUGCGUGCCAGUUAAACCUCUGUGCUUUUUCACAUUUUAAGAAGUAUGUCCAGUUACAGAGCCAUUUCUGACCAGCUGAGCAGAAAAUAGCAUGACCCAGUCAUUUGCCUUUAACUGUCUUCGAUAUGCAGAAAUCAGCAGUGAAAACCUCUCAUGGCAUGGAGAUGCAAGUGUUAUUAUAUCUAAUGUCCGCACACCAAACUGCUGUUAAAAGCGCAGGAGGAUGGUCUAGUUAAAAAGCUGGGUUUCUUACUGAUCAUCUUUCAACAGCCUUUACAGUUACACAACAUAAGCAACCGCACCCCCAUAUUACCCAUGCAACACAGAAUGUUCUCUUUUUUUCAGAUGUUUCUGUAACUGCAGGUCUCAGCAUGGUUUACCCCACUGAUCGGAAAUUGCUUUAAAAACAACAAUUCUUGAGCACAGCAGAAACGAGAACUCAGCACAUUGGUCACUAAUUGCUAUGCAAAAUUUUAAAAAAUGAAGGUAUUUGUUUUCCUGCCCCACUGAUCUCAUAAUUCUCACCAGGAAGACAAUGGAAUUGUCAACUGCAAGGGACAAUCUUCCAUUUUCUGCCAUCUUCAAAGUAAAGAAAGAAAAAAAAUAAGAAGACCCAAGCCAGUGCCGUAGCUACGGGGGGCUAGUCAGGUUUUUUUUUUGCCCCUGGUGAAGCCUCUAGAGGGGCACCAUUGAGGUUCCAGCCUCUGUUUGUGUGUACACAAAUGCACAUGGUGGGGGGUGUGUACUAAACUGGGUCUUUGACCCGAAUGAAAUGAAGCCUAGUUUCACCUCUGCCCAGACCUACAUACUGAAGCAGUAACGGUGUUUGUCCAUCUGUUCUGUGACCUGAGACCUCCGGGUAUAGGGUGAUACAUAAAUUCAAUUAAUAAUAAUAACAACAACAACAAAAGACACAAAUAGAGUUCUAUGGCACCUUAGAGACCAUAAAGUUCUAUGGACUUUGAUCAAUCUCUCAACAGAUAGCUAGUUAAACAGAGGGGUGCCUAAAUUGAUCGGAUUAUGUAUAUACAGUGGUACCUCGGGUUAAGUACUUAAUUCGUUCCGGAGGUCCGUACUUAACCUGAAACUGUUCUUAACCUGAAGCACCACUUUAGCUAAUGGGGCUUCCUGCUGCCACUGUGCCGCCGGAGCACGAUUUCUGUUCUCAUCCUGAAGCAAAGUUCUUAACCCAAGGUACUAUUUCUGGGUUAGUGGAGUCUGUAACCUAAAGCGUAUGUAACCUGAAGUGUAUGUAACCCAAGGUACCACUGUCUAUAGAUUAGCACAAUGAAGGAUGAAGAAUUUGGAAAGCAUGAGUCAAAAAGUGAAUGAAUUACAAGGAGCAACUGAAAGUGUGUCAUAUUCUUGAGUAAAGCUAAAAUAUAUGCAAGAUAAAAUCAGAAUGACCCACUCCUCAAGAGCAGUCAUUGGCGAUCAGUUAGCACAGCAUUUCAAGAGGUACUAUCAGUUUCUGGAUGUUUGCAGAUGGGAAGUUAAUCUUCAAAAGACUCAUUGAUUCAAUGAAUCAUUGGCAACAGUUGUUUUUUUUAAUGUAGGAUUUCCCCUGUAAAUAGUAAAUCGGGACUAAAUAGAGGAGAGGAGAUAUGGGAUGGGAUUUUGAUGCCAACAAUACUAUAUGGAUGCUGGGGAGUGAAUAAGGAGACCCAUCCCAUAAUAAGCACCCGUCUGCAAGUACCCCCUGUGGUGGAAAAGCCACCUGAAUCCUGACUCAGACCAAAUUCAGUAGUGUCAGAUUUGCAAAAUGAAUGAUGAAGCAAGUGCCGUCUCCCUGUUAAGUAAGUAAUGCCGCCUUAAGUAAUGUCUCCAAGCAUGAACUGAAUUCCCACGUAUGCGUUCGUGUUACUAAUCCCAUUCUACCAACUCUUGAGCGUCAUGACUUCAUGACUCAGCGGGUUUUUUGUCUGAGAGAGAUCACACCGAGGGCAAAUCUCCAGAUUCCCCAGCUCUUGACCAUGUGAUAUGUGCCAUAAGUCUAGUGAAGUGAACAACAGAUGAUGUUUUAAUGGGUGCCGCAGAGCGUGUGCAGCAGAGUUCGCAAAACUAUUUUUGCCUUGGCAUGCUCCCAAGGGCUGGACAAAAGACACAUUCAGCAGCAGUCAGACAGCGUCCUGGUGAGUCAAAGGCUUCCAAACUAGACCUUUUGAAGCUUUGUAAAGCUGGAACAGUCCACAAACCUAUAACAGUACGGCAUGGGAUAGAUCUGGUGACAAGGGAUCCUUUGAAGUUCACCUCUAGGAAUUCAAUUUCCUGCUUGAUUUCCUUGAGCCCAACAGAAAACUUCACCAAACCAUUGUGUUUGUUUAUGCUGCUGCUUUUUUCCCCUUUAACUGGCAUCAAGCUAGACGCAAGACUAGAUGAUGCCUCAUAAAAAGAGCAGUGUAUUGCUCACUGGCUGAUUACAUCAAAGAAAUUCGACUCCUGAAUCUGAUGCCUCAAGUUUUUCAACAGCAGGAAAUUCUGUUCUGAUAUAACACAGGAGUUUUGGUUUUUUUUACAAGCUUUUCAUUCCUUUGACAUUUCCCAAAUUUCCUUUCCCUACUUACUAUUAAUCUUGUUUUCUUUUUGAUCCGUCUAUUAAUUAGUGCUCAAAUAGUUUGGACUAUGCCC